rnacentral:lncRNA from 1 species
GCGAAUCUGAAGUCAACGCCCCUCCCCUCACAACGGACCCCAGAAGGAAGUUUCUGCGAAGAGAAAGGAUCAGAGUGGAGGAGUUAUCAGCGCGGGAAGCUCCAUGGCCGGAUCAGAUGCAGCUGCCAUGGUGGAAUAUCGGGAGAAGUCUAGGCAGGCAUUCAUACUUGAGACGCCGCCCACGCCUUUUGUUUCAACCCGUCAUCAUGCGCAAGAACAUGAUCGCAUUGCUGUAGAAGAGCUUGCGAAUGCCGCAGUGCCAGGGCUCGAGCACGGGCAAGGGCACCCUUCAACGGAUGAUCGCAGCCAGAAGCUUCCCACUCAAACCUUUUACUUUCAUGGCAUCAUAUCCUUUCUCCGGGAAGAAUCAGGGGCCGAGAAGACAAGGCGCCAAGAAGAAUGAUCAGAGGAUUGCGCAAACACAGAGCCCCGAUUUCAUCGCCGGAUGAAGGGCGGCAGAAUUUUUUCUCUGCCAGCGGUGGAAAACGUUCGGGUUUAUUUCCAAAGAGAUCAAGAAUGGCGGAUGCGUUUGAUUUGAUUGUUUCAGCUUUUGGGAUCAGAUGCCAGAUUUCUGUCACAAAUGUUGGCAAAAGUUCGUUGAAUCGGAAAUAAACUCGGUUAUUCGCUUGCGAGUUCCUGAUUUUUUCCAAGGAUUUACGGAGAAAUCAUGCGAGAUCAUGCGUGAGUCGCAAAUCGGCGGGAGUUUGAUGGCGAGAUCGAGUACAAUGGAUCCGGAAAAUGCGAAGAGAAGCGCGUCCGCUCUGCCUCGGUUGAUGCUUGAUCGAGACGAAGAACAGGCGUAGAUGAUCGCAAUGGAUCAGUGGACCGGAACUCAAAAGCAGAUCGGAGGAUGCGACGCCAACCUCCGUACGUAAAAACAGCGAGGAGAUCGGCGAACGAAGGCUGCGCCGUCUUCCGAUCAGACAGCGCGCCGCGAUGCGGAUAGAGGCUGCCGGAGAACCACCAGAGCCAGAGGAGACGAUGAAGGGGAAGGAAGGAGCACGGCUGCCUCCGGGGCCGGGCUCCAAUCGUUAGGGUUCCAGCACGAGAUUCCGCAAAACGUCGAUUUACAGGUAGCUUCCUAAC